UGCUGGGAUUACAUGUGUGAGCCACUGAGCCCAGCCUGCCAUCUGGUUUUCUCAUGUCACCAAGUGAAUACAAGACCUGUGCCAACAGGACCCAGCAUGAUGUAAUCCUCAUGGUGUUUCUUUUUCUCUUAUUGCAGGAGAAGCCAGCGGCCCAGUAUCACCGCCGUACGUAUUCUGUUUCUUUUAAAACCUUACCGAGCUGUAGUUGACAUGCAAACCAAUUCACCCAUUUAAAGUAGGUGAUUCAGUGUUUUUGCUAUAUUUACAGGGUUGUGCAAUGCAACCAUUCUUAGAAUCUAAUUUUAGAAGCUCUUCGUUCCCUUUCAGAAAACCCCCUUAGUAGUGACUCCUGUUUUCCCCAACCCCCCACACCCCUGGUUCUAGGCAGCCCUAAUCUACUUUCUGUUUCUAUAGUACACUGCCUUUCUGCAUUAACCGGUUCUUCAAAUGACGCUUUCACAUUGAUGAGGUCUCCCUAACUAGGAAGCCAAGGCUCUUUCAUUUCUUUCUGCCACUCUCCUUUUCCUUCCUUCAGCAUCAAGGAGAAUGGUUUAGCAGCAGCUCAGUCCAUGCUUGUCAAAUGCCCAGCUCCAUACACUCCAGCCUGGUCCACAAUUCCAAAAGCUUUUUGUGAGAUGCCUCAGCAGCACCAGUGCACUGACUGUCACUCUGUGUUCUCUUAGGUCCUGUUAAGGUCUUACAAGACCUUGUCAUAGAAGACAUAGAGGAUGAGGAGCUGUUCCCUGAUGUGGAGAAGCCAGCGGCCCAGUAUCACCGCCGUACGUAUUCUGUUUCUUUUAAACACUUACCGAGAUGUAGUUGACAUGCAAACCAAUUCACCCAUUAAAGUAGGUGAUUCAGUGAUUUUACUAUAUUUACAGGGUUGUGCAACCAUUGUUAGAAUCUAAUUUUAGAAGCUCUUGGUUCCCUUUCAGAAAACCCCCUUAGUAGUGACUCCUCUGUUUUCCCCAACCCCCCACACCCCUGGUUCUAGGCAGCCCUAAUCUACUUCCUGUUUCUAUAGUACACUGCCUUUCUGCAUUAACCGGUUCUUCAAAUGAUGAUUUCACAUUGAUGAGGUCGCCCUAGCUAGAAAGCCAAGGCUCUUUCAUUUCUUUCUGCCCCUCUCCUUUUCCUUCCUUCAGCAUCAAGGAGAAUGGUCCAGCAGCAGCUCGGUCCAUGCUUGUCAAACGCCCAGCUCCAUACACUCCAGCCCAGUCCACAUUUCUCAAAGCUCCUUGUGAGAUGCCUCAGCAGCACCAGUGCACUGACGGCCACUCUGUGUUCUCUUAGGUCCUGUUAAGGUCUUACAAGACCUUGUCAUAGAAGACAUAGAGGAUGAGGAGCUGUUCCCUGAUGUGGUAAGAUGCAUUUCUUUGUCUCAAAGAGAAAUUUUUAUUUCUGGGGCCUCUGGAAUAUCAAGUGAAUAUUAUUUUUGACUGCCAUUGUGAAUCAGACCUCAGUUGUCAUGGACUCUAGCGACCAUUCAGUGGAGUUUCUGACCAACUGAGGCCUGAUUGACGAUGUCAGUCAAAAGAAGGCAUAACUUACAAUCUGGUCGUGGGCAUAUUUCUCAGUAGCAACAUUUUCUUCUUGAAAAAUAAUUUUGUAUUUUUCAGCCAGCAUAGAUAAUUGCUAAAUAUUCCAAACCCACUGCAUUUUCUGCAAGGAUCCCCUGUUCUCCAUUAGGGGCCGGUGACUUCAUCACUGUUUGACAUCUGUUUUUUUUUUGUUGUUUAGUUUUGUUUUUGAGACAGAGUCUCUCUGUCACCAGGCUACAGUGCAGUGGUGUGAUCUCAGAUCACUGCAGCGUCCUCCUACUGCAUUCAAGCAAUUAUCCUACCUCGUCUCCCGAGUAGCUGGGACUGAAGGCUCUCACCACUACCACACCCACUUUUUUGUAGUGUU
rnacentral:lncRNA from 13 species